UACGUAGGGGGCUAGCGUUGUUCGGAAUCACUGGGCGUAAAGCGCACGUAGGCGGAUCUUUAAGUCAGGGGUGAAAUCCCGGGGCUCAACCUCGGAACUGCCUUUGAUACUGGGGAUCUCGAGUCCGGGAGAGGUGAGUGGAACUGCGAGUGUAGAGGUGAAAUUCGUAGAUAUUCGCAAGAACACCAGUGGCGAAGGCGGCUCACUGGCCCGGAACUGACGCUGAGGUGCGAAAGCGUGGGGAGCAAACAGG
rnacentral:rRNA from 1 species